rnacentral:rRNA from 1 species
AUACGUAGGUGACAAGCGUUAUCCGGAUUUACUGGGUGUAAAGGGCGUGUAGGCGGUUUAGCAAGUCUGAAGUGAAAUUCCCGGGCUUAACUUGGGCGCUGCUUCUGAAACUGCUUUACUUGAGUGCUGGAGAGGAUAGAGGAAUUCUUAGUGUCGCGGUGAACUGCGCAGAUAUUAGGAGGAACACCGGUGGCGAAGGCGGCUAUCUGGACAGUAACUGACGCUGAGGCGCGAAAGCACGGGGAGCAAACAGGAUUAGAUACCCUGGUAGUCCGUGCCGUAAACGAUGAAUACUAGGUGUAGGGGGUAUCGACUCCCUCUGUGCCGCAGUUAACACAUUAAGUAUUCCGCCUGGGGAGUACGGCCGCAAGGUUGAAACUCAAAGGAAUUGGCGGGG